CAGCAGCCACGGUAAUACGGAGGGAGCUAGCGUUGUUCGGAAUUACUGGGCGUAAAGCGCGCGUAGGCGGUUACUCAAGUCAGAGGUGAAAGCCCGGGGCUCAACACCGGAACUGCCUUUGAAACUAGGUGACUAGAAUCUUGGAGAGGUCAGUGGAAUUCCGAGUGUAGAGGUGAAAUUCGUAGAUAUUCGGAAGAACACCAGUGGCGAAGGCGGCUCACUGGACGCGUAUUGACGCUGAGGUGCGAAAGCGUGGGGAGCAAACAGGAUUAGAUACCCCAGUAGUCCCUGUCUCUUAUAC
rnacentral:rRNA from 1 species